CUGGAACAAAGAGCAUUAUCUUGUAAAUCAAGACUGAUCUGAAAUACUACUCCAACCACCACCCUCUUCGUCGCCAUACUUGGUCACAAUGGUGGGCUUGUCUGAAACUGGAGGUGUGGCCUCUUUCCAUGUGAGUGAUCAGUCCUCCUCCCUAUUGCUUUGUUGCCUAAAUACUGACCACGGCAUCUGCAGCAGAGUACAGAAUAUGCCACCGUCGCUGCCUAUGUGUCUUGUGAAUGGAGGUGUCCAUUGCUGAAUCAACCUAACAGGCAGGGUCUGGAAAAGUUACUCUUUUGGACCACAACGCUGACAGUUCCUACCACCUGGGGAUUGUGGGAGUUGUAGUCCCACCUGCAAACCCUUCUGAAGCUCUGCUAACCAGCUACUUGUGCUAACAUGCAUUCCUGACAGACAGCGCUUUGUAAUAAAACAUGUGGUCUGAUUGUUCCUUUAAAUGAAGAGGGCUCUUGUAUACAUAGGUGCUUUGUGUGGUAUCAGCUCUCUUGUGUUUGGGAAAUAAUAAAGCCUGAACCUCUAA